CGAAGGGUGCAAGCGUUACUCGGAAUUACUGGGCGUAAAGCGUGCGUAGGUGGUUUGUUAAGUCUGAUGUGAAAGCCCUGGGCUCAACCUGGGAACGGCAUUGGAUACUGGCUUACUAGAGUGCGGUAGAGGGGUGUGGAAUUCCCGGUGUAGCAGUGAAAUGCGUAGAUAUCGGGAGGAACAUCUGUGGCGAAGGCGACACCCUGGACCAGCACUGACACUGAGGCACGAAAGCGUGGGGAGCAAACAGGAUUAGAUACCCUGGUAGUCCACGCCCUAAACGAUGCGAACUGGAUGUUGGGUGCAAUUUGGCACUCAGUAUCGAAGCUAACGCGUUAAGUUCGCCGCCUGGGAAGUACGGUCGCAAGACUG
rnacentral:rRNA from 1 species